GACGAACGCUGGCGGCGUGCUUAAUACAUGCAAGUCAACUUGACUUUAGAUAGCAAUAUCGAAAAGUAGGGUGGCGCACGGGUGCGUAACGCGUAGGUAAUCUGCCCUGAGGUCUGACAUAACCCGUCGAAAGGCGGGCUAACAUCAGAUGAUAUAUAAUCACGACAUCGUGGAAAAUAUCAAAUCUUCGGAGCCUUGGGAUGAGCCUGCGUCUGAUUAGGUAGUUGGCGGAGUAAUAGCCCACCAAGCCUACGAUCAGUAGCUGGUCUGAGAGGAUGAUCAGCCACACUGGAACUGAGACACGGUCCAGACUCCUACGGGAGCAGCAGUAAGGAAUAUUGCUCAAUGGGGGAAACCCUGAAGCAGCAACGCCGCGUGAAGGAUGAAAU
rnacentral:rRNA from 1 species